rnacentral:rRNA from 1 species
GGCCAGACUCCUACGGGAGGCAGCAGUGGGGAAUAUUGCACAAUGGGGGAAACCCUGAUGCAGCGACGCCGCGUGAGUGAAGAAGUAUUUCGGUAUGCAAAGCUCUAUCAGCAGGGAAGAAAAUGACGGUACCUGACUAAGAAGCCCCGGCUAACUACGUGCCAGCAGCCGCGGUAAUACGUAGGGGGCAAGCGUUAUCCGGAUUUACUGGGUGUAAAGGGAGCGUAGACGGCAUGGCAAGUCAGAUGUGAAAGCCCGGGGCUCAACCCCGGGACUGCAUUUGAAACUGUCAGGCUGGAGUGCAGGAGAGGUAAGUGGAAUUCCUAGUGUAGCGGUGAAAUGCGUAGAUAUUAGGAGGAACACCAGUGGCGAAGGCGGCUUACUGGACUGUAACUGACGUUGAGGCUCGAAAGCGUGGGGAGCAAACAGGAUUAGAUACCCCAGUA